rnacentral:rRNA from 1 species
CCUAAGACAUGCAAGUCGUACGAGGUUGCCUGUUGAAAUUUACUGCUUGCAGCAAAUGGAUAUAGAUCACAACCUAGUGGCGAAAGGGUGAGUAACACGUGAGUUAUCUACCUCAGAGACUGGGAUAACUACUGGAAACGGUAGCUAAUACCGGAUGAUAUAUAAAGUGAUACGUUAUUUUAUGUAAAAGGUGCCUUUAAAGCAUCACUUUGAGAUGAGCUUGCGACGUAUUAGCUAGUUGGUGAGGUAAUGGCUUACCAAGGCGACGAUGCGUAGCGACCUGAGAGGGUGAUCGGCCACACUGGGACUGAGACACGGCCCAGACUCCUACGGGAGACAGCAGUUAGGGAUAUUCGUCAAUGGGGGAAACCCUGAACGAGCAAUGCCGCGUGAGUGAUGAACCAGUUCUAUGGAUUGUAAAACUCUGUUGUUAGGGACGAACGACCUAUAUAGGAAAUGAUAUAGGAGUGACUGUACCUUUCAAGAAAGCUCCGGCUAACUACGUGCCAGCCGCCGC